rnacentral:rRNA from 1 species
AUUACUGGGCGUAAAGCGCAUGCAGGCGGUUUGUUAAGCGAGAUGUGAAAGCCCCGGGCUCAACCUGGGAACUGCAUUUCGAACUGGCAAACUAGAGUUCUUGAGAGGGUGGUAGAAUUUCAGGUGUAGCGGUGAAAUGCGUAGAGAUCUGAAGGAAUACCAGUGGCGAAGGCGGCCACCUGGCAAGUAACUGACGCUCAGAUGCGAAAGCGUGGGUAGCAAACGGGAUUAGAUACCCCGGUAGUCCACGCCGUAAACGAUGUCUACUCGGAGUUUGGUUCCUUGAGAACUGGGCUCUUAAGCUAACGCAUUAAGUAGACCGCCUGGGGAGUACGGCCGCAAGGUUAAAACUCAAAUGAAUUGACGGGGGCCCGCACAAGCGGUGGAGCAUGUGGUUUAAUUCGAUGCAACGCGAAGAACCUUACCUACUCUUGACAUCCACAGAAUUUGGAAGAGAUUCCUUAGUGCCUUCGGGAACUGUGAGACAGGUGCUGCAUGGCUGUCGUCAGCUCGUGUUGUGAAAUGUUGGGUUAAGUCCCGCAACGAGCGCAACCCUUAUCCUUAUUUGCCAGCACGUAAUGGUGGGAACUCUAAGGAGACUGCCGGUGAUAAACCGGAGGAAGGUGGGGACGACGUCAAGUCAUCAUGGCCCUUACGAGUAGGGCUACACACGUGCUACAAUGGCGCAUACAAAGGGCUGCAAACCAGCGAUGGUGAGCGAAUCUCAUAAAGUGCGUCGUAGUCCGGAUUGGGGUCUGCAACUCGACCCCAUGAAGUCGGAAUCGCUAGUAAUCGUAGAUCAGAAUGCUACGGUGAAUACGUUCCCGGGCCUUGUACACACCGCCCGUCACACCAUGGGAGUGGGCUGCACCAGAAGUCAUUAGCUUAACCUUCGGGA